CCUACGGGAGGCAGCAGUGAGGAAUAUUGGUCAAUGGACGAGAGUCUGAACCAGCAAAGUAGCGUGAAGGAUGACUGCCCUAUGGGUUGUAAACUUCUUUUAUAUGGGAGUAAAAUGUUCCACGUGUGGGAUUUUGUAUGUCCCAUAUGAAUAAGGCUCGGCUAACUCCGUGCCAGCAGCCGCGGUAAUACGGAGGAUGCGAGCGUUAUCCGGAUUUCUUGGGUUUAAAGGGAGCGUAGGUGGAUUGUUAAGUCAGUUGUGAAAGUUUGCGGCUCAACCGUGAAAUUGCAGUUGAAACUGGCAGUCUUGAGUACAGGAGAGGUGAGCGGAAUUCGUGGUGUAGCGGUGAAAUGCUUAGAUAUCACGAAGAACACCAGUGGCGAAGGCAGCUCACUGGACUGCAACUGACACUGAGGCUCGAAAGUGUGGGUAGCAAACAGGAUUAGAUACCCUAGUAGUC
rnacentral:rRNA from 1 species